rnacentral:lncRNA from 1 species
AGAUCUAUUAUAUGAGCUAAAAUGCUAAAUGUGAUUCAUCAUUAUACUUUAGAGACAUUUAAUAAUAAUUAAAAUUUUAAAGAAGGAUUUCUUUCAACAACAUAAUCAUUAAAAACUACGUAAAUAACGCAAGCAUCCAGAGAGGUUUUAUUUUUAUUCUUUUAUACUACUAUAUAAAGUGACUAAACCAUAUUAUAUUUGUUACGUUCAAAGGUGAAAAAAAAUGACUGAAACUCACGAGUUUGUUUAUAAUGUGAUGAUUUUUGUUUCCAUAUUUCUCUUUGUAAUCUUUGAUGAAAGUAAGCUCAUUCUCAUGAUUAUUUUUUUGUUUAUUUCAUGCCAAAUGUUUCACACCCAUUUUAAUACUUCUUUAUUCUUUUACUACAUUACAGGAAAAUAUGAAUGCUAUAAUGAUGCCGAUUGUAAUAAACUAUAUCCUGAUCCUCCUACUGGAAAAAUAAUGAGGUGCUUUGGCGGUUAUUGUAAAAGCUUGGUAUAACAUAUUUUUUUUGUUAUGUAUAAACCUUUCAUUUUCUUUGCUCAUCAUAUGAUAUGAUCUUAAUGUUGCUACUCUUUCAAAAAAAAAAUUGUUACUCUUUUAUAAUUUCUCUUACACUUUCAUAUAUUUCUUUGAUUUUGCAAAUUUCUCUUACUCUUAUAGUUUUCAUGGGAAGGAGCCUUAUAAUGCAGAGUUCGAUUCGAUGAUAAUUCAAUAAUGUUUGACCAAGGAUAAUUCCA